rnacentral:lncRNA from 1 species
AGGGGGAGGGUAUAGGGGACUUUCGGGAUAGCAUUUGUAAUGUAAAUAAAGAAAAUAUCUAAUGAAGAAGGAGAAGGAGAAGGAGGAGGAGGAGGAGAAGAAGGAGAAGGAGAAGGAGAAGGAGAAGGAGAAGGAGAAGGAGAAGGAGAAGGAGGAAGAAGAAGGAGGAGGAGAAGGAGGAAGAGGAGGAGGAGGAGGAGGAGGAGGAGGAGGAGGAGGAGGAGGAGGAGGAGGAGGAGGAGGAGACCAGCAGGCUUCUACCUUUAUGUAAAGCCCACUCAGCAGCCCCAAACUGCAACCUUCCACUGGGCUCCAUAAACUGGCCUAAAACUCUGAUUCCUUUUCUGGAGGGCUGCCAGGAAAAACAACACACCUAAAAGCUUUAGUUUAAAAAUGAGCAAACACACUAUGUUUGGUGUGAUUCUUUACAGAGGAGUAGAUAGCAAGAAAUACUCAAACUCAGAGCUGAAAUAAAUCAAUUAGUAACAAAGAAAACAAUACAAAGACUCAAUGAAAGAGUUGGUUCUUUGAGAUCAUCAACAAGAAAUCCUUAUCCAAUCAAACUAAAAGGCAGAGGCAAUAUCCAAAUUGGCAAAAUCGGAAAUCAAAAGGGGGCUAAAAACAACAGACAAUGAGGAAAUCUAAAGAUUCGUUAGGUCUUACUUCAAAAACCUGUACUCCACAAAAUUGUAAAUUCUAAAUAAAAUGGACAAUUUUCUUGACAGAUACCGUUUGCCAAAGAUAAAGCAAGAUUGAAUAAACAAUUUAAAGAUGUAUUCUUAGGAUAAACAGAAAAGGAAAGACUAUGUCUUAACAAUGCUAUGCUUGUGUGUCAAUUUACAUAGGGAUCAAUUAUCCCAGCUAGUUUUACCUGAACUUGACAAAGGCUACAUUCAUCUGAAAGUUGGGAACGUCAAUUAAGAAAAUCUGUCUAUAAGAUAAAACUGCAGAGCAUGUUCUUAACUAGGGAUUGAUGUGAGAAGGCCCAUUCCAUUGUGGACAGUGCUAUUGAAUGGCUGGUGGUACUCAGUUCUAUAAGGAAGCAGGUUGCAGGCCAUAAAGAACAAGAGGAUAGGCAGCACUCCUCCGCGCAUCUGCAUUUUCUCCUGCCUCCAGGUAACUCCCCCGUUAGAAUUCCUAUCCUGAUUACCUUCAGUAAUAUGGAAGUAUAAGCCGAGUAAAUCCUUUUUUUCUCCAAUUUGUUUUUUAUUGUAGUGUUUUAUCGUAGCUAUAGAAGCCCUACCUUAGACAAGGCCUCUACAGAGAGCCUCUUAGAGAUUGCUCCUGACACAAGUGUGCAUGCAAAAUGACAGACUAAGAAGACAAAAGUAUCAUCUACAACAGUUGGUUCAAGUGUCUCAUGUAUUCUUCAAUAAGACUGUGCCCAUCCUAAGUUAAAUACCAAACGAGGAAGAGAGAAUGAACUCAAAACAGGACUCUAGUGCUUUCCUAAAAAUGGCCUCAUCACUGUGCAUAAAUGUAGAACAAAUUAUUUAGACUCUAAUCAUUGUUUCAAUAAAGCAAGCAUCUUUGGAGAGGAGAGGCUGCUCAGAUUUACAUUAAAUGUGGUGCAGAAAGGAGAGAGUUAGGUUAAAAUCAGGUGAGCUCAUCUACAGUAGCAAGUUCUCUCUCUCUCUCUCUCUCUCUCUCUCUCUCUCUCUCUCUCUCUCUCUUUGCUUCAUCUUCAUUUUUCUCUUUUGACUAGUCAAAAUGAUUAAGUUUUAAGCCAGUGACAUAUAGUAUAAAUGACCCUAGAUUAUGAUGAAAGUUUUAAUUAUUGCUUGCUAAGUUUUUUUUGUAUAGACAUAACUUCUUCCAAAAUGACACGGCAUUCCCUCUUAUUGUUUAUUCUGUAAAGAAGAAAUGGAUUAAUAGGCCAGGUGUAGUAGUGUAUAGAUCAAACAAAAUGUAAGAUUUGUUGUUUUAUUUUCCAAGUUCUUUCUAAACCAGAAACUUGUUUGCU